AAUAAAAAGACGAUUUUACUUAUAAAUGUGAAAAAGGACGGAACAUCACAGUAGGCUAUGUAAUUUUUGUUUACCUGCGACAAAACGUCUCUCGACUUCAAAGGAACAUCUAACCUUGAAAAAGCAUCUUAAAGUUUGUAGCUUGCACAUUUCUGUGCACUUUAAUUUGUUGGCAAGACAGGAACAGUCGGGAAGCUUGCAGGUCCGUGAACACUUGCAGGCCAUAAGCUCCAGAACAGCCAUUGGUGCUGGGGGUCCCCGCAUCCAGUCUAACAUCAGCAUACCUUUACAAAUAGGUUUGUCCAUCCAUGUCCUUCUGGUUCGGGUAUGUCUGGCUGUCCUUCCAAGCAGUGCCUCCAGACAGCUGCCUGGUAAUUGGCACGCUAUGCAACUUUAAGCAGUCCCUGCAAGGGGGGAAGUAGGCUGGACUCCAC